rnacentral:rRNA from 2 species
GACGAACGCUGGCGGCGUGCCUAAUACAUGCAAGUCGAACGAACUCUGGUAUUGAUUGGUGCUUGCAUCAUGAUUUACAUUUGAGUGAGUGGCGAACUGGUGAGUAACACGUGGGAAACCUGCCCAGAAGCGGGGGAUAACACCUGGAAACAGAUGCUAAUACCGCAUAACAACUUGGACCGCAUGGUCCGAGCUUGAAAGAUGGCUUCGGCUAUCACUUUUGGAUGGUCCCGCGGCGUAUUAGCUAGAUGGUGGGGUAACGGCUCACCAUGGCAAUGAUACGUAGCCGACCUGAGAGGGUAAUCGGCCACAUUGGGACUGAGACACGGCCCAAACUCCUACGGGAGGCAGCAGUAGGGAAUCUUCCACAAUGGACGAAAGUCUGAUGGAGCAACGCCGCGUGAGUGAAGAAGGGUUUCGGCUCGUAAAACUCUGUUGUUAAAGAAGAACAUAUCUGAGAGUAACUGUUCAGGUAUUGACGGUAUUUAACCAGAAAGCCACGGCUAACUACGUGCCAGCAGCCGCGGUAAUACGUAGGUGGCAAGCGUUGUCCGGAUUUAUUGGGCGUAAAGCGAGCGCAGGCGGUUUUUUAAGUCUGAUGUGAAAGCCUUCGGCUCAACCGAAGAAGUGCAUCGGAAACUGGGAAACUUGAGUGCAGAAGAGGACAGUGGAACUCCAUGUGUAGCGGUGAAAUGCGUAGAUAUAUGGAAGAACACCAGUGGCGAAGGCGGCUGUCUGGUCUGUAACUGACGCUGAGGCUCGAAAGUAUGGGUAGCAAACAGGAUUAGAUACCCUGGUAGUCCAUACCGUAAACGAUGAAUGCUAAGUGUUGGAGGGUUUCCGCCCUUCAGUGCUGCAGCUAACGCAUUAAGCAUUCCGCCUGGGGAGUACGGCCGCAAGGCUGAAACUCAAAGGAAUUGACGGGGGCCCGCACAAGCGGUGGAGCAUGUGGUUUAAUUCGAAGCUACGCGAAGAACCUUACCAGGUCUUGACAUACUAUGCAAAUCUAAGAGAUUAGACGUUCCCUUCGGGGACAUGGAUACAGGUGGUGCAUGGUUGUCGUCAGCUCGUGUCGUGAGAUGUUGGGUUAAGUCCCGCAACGAGCGCAACCCUUAUUAUCAGUUGCCAGCAUUAAGUUGGGCACUCUGGUGAGACUGCCGGUGACAAACCGGAGGAAGGUGGGGAUGACGUCAAAUCAUCAUGCCCCUUAUGACCUGGGCUACACACGUGCUACAAUGGAUGGUACAACGAGUUGCGAACUCGCGAGAGUAAGCUAAUCUCUUAAAGCCAUUCUCAGUUCGGAUUGUAGGCUGCAACUCGCCUACAUGAAGUCGGAAUCGCUAGUAAUCGCGGAUCAGCAUGCCGCGGUGAAUACGUUCCCGGGCCUUGUACACACCGCCCGUCACACCAUGAGAGUUUGUAACACCCAAAGUCGGUGGGGUAACCUUUUAGGAACCAGCCGCCUAAGGUGGGACAGAUGAUUAGGGUGAA